GACGAACGCGGGCGGCGUGCUUAAUACAUGCAAGUGGGACGCAAGGAAACACACUGUGCUUGCACACCGUGUUUUCUUGAGUCGCGAACGGGUGAGUAACGCGUAGGUAACCUGCCUAUUAGCGGGGGAUAACUAUUGGAAACGAUAGCUAAUACCGCAUAAUAUUAAUUAUUGCAUGAUAAUUGAUUGAAAGAUGCAAGCGCAUCACUAGUAGAUGGACCUGCGUUGUAUUAGCUAGUUGGUAAGGUAAGAGCUUACCAAGGCGACGAUACAUAGCCGACCUGAGAGGGUGAUCGGCCACACUGGGACUGAGACACGGCCCAGACUCCUACGGGAGGCAGCAGUAGGGAAUCUUCGGCAAUGGACGAAAGUCUGACCGAGCAACGCCGCGUGAGUGAAGAAGGUUUUCGGAUCGUAAAGCUCUGCUGUAAGUCAAGAACGUGUGUGAGAGUGGAAAGUUCACACAGUGACGGAGCUACCAGAAAGGCGCA
rnacentral:rRNA from 1 species